UCGCGAAAACUUUACAACGCCGGCAACGGCGAUAAGGGGACCUCGAGCGCCAGGUUACAAAUCUGGCUGUCGUGAUGCCUAAAAAGCAUUGCAUAGCAAGGGCCGGGCAAGACCGGUGCCAGCCGCCGCGGUAACACCGGCGGCUCGAGUGGUAACCGUUAUUAUUGGGUCUAAAGGGUCUGUAGCCGGCCGGAUAAGUCUCUUGAGAAAUCCAGCAGCUCAACUGUUGGGCUUUUCAGGAGAUACUGUCUGGCUCGAGGCCGGGAGAGGUGAGAGGUACUUCAGGGGUAGGGUGAAAUCUUGUAAUCCUUGAAGGACCACCAGUGGCGAAGGCGUCUCACCAGAACGGACCUGACGGCAAGGGACGAAUGCUAGGGGCACGAACCGGAUUAGAAACCC
rnacentral:rRNA from 1 species